UGGGGAAUAUUGGACAAUGGGCGAAAGCCUGAUCCAGCCAUGCCGCGUGUGUGAAGAAGGUCUUCGGAUUGUAAAGCACUUUAAGUUGGGAGGAAGGGCAUUAACCUAAUACGUUAGUGUUUUGACGUUACCGACAGAAUAAGCACCGGCUCACUCUGUGCCAGCAGCCGCGGUACUACAGAGGGUGCAAGCGUUAAUCGGAAUUACUGGGCGUAAAGCGCGCGUAGGUGGUUUGUUAAGUUGGAUGUGAAAUCCCCGGGCUCAACCUGGGAACUGCAUUCAAAACUGACUGACUAGAGUAUGGUAGAGGGUGGUGGAAUUUCCUGUGUAGCGGUGAAAUGCGUAGAUAUAGGAAGGAACACCAGUGGCGAAGGCGACCACCUGGACUAAUACUGACACUGAGGUGCGAAAGCGUGGGGAGCAAACA
rnacentral:rRNA from 1 species